AACGAACGCUGGCGGCAUGCCUAACACAUGCAAGUCGAACGAGAUCUUCGGGUCUAGUGGCGCACGGGUGCGUAACGCGUGGGAAUCUGCCCUUUGGUUCGGAAUAAUAGGUGGAAACGCCUGCUAAUACCGGAUGAUGACGAAAGUCCAAAGAUUUAUCGCCAGAGGAUGAGCCCGCGUAGGAUUAGCUAGUUGGUGUGAUAACGGCGCACCAAGGCGACGAUCCUUAGCUGGUCUGGGAGGAUGAUCAGCCACACUGGGACUGAGACACGCCCCAGACUCCUAGGGGAGGCAGCAGUGGGGAAUAUUGGACAAUGUGCGAAAGCCUGAUCCAGCAAUGCCGCGUGAGUGAUGAAUGCCUGAGGGUUGUAAAGCUCUUUUACCCGGGAUGAUAAUGACAGUACCGGUAGAAUAAGCUCCGGCUAACUCCGUGCCAGCAGCCGCCGUAA
rnacentral:rRNA from 1 species